rnacentral:rRNA from 1 species
AUAACCGCGGCUGCUGGCACGGAGUUAGCCGGUGCUUCCUUUUAAGGGUACCAUCAGUUAUACUAGGUAUUAGCUAAUAUAGGUUUUGUCCCCUUCGACAGAGGUUUACAAUCCGAGAACCUUCAUCCCUCACGCGGCGUUGCUGCGUCAGGCUUUCGCCCAUUGCGCAAUAUUCCCCACUGCUGCCUCCCGUAGG